rnacentral:rRNA from 1 species
CACAUCACGAAAGUGAAUUGUACUAGAAGUCUGCAGGCUGACCCGCGAGGGAGGCAGCGGCCCAAGGUAUGAUCCAUGAUUGGGGUG